UACGAAGGGGGCUAGCGUUGCUCGGAAUCACUGGGCGUAAAGGGUGCGUAGGCGGGUCUUUAAGUCAGGGGUGAAAUCCUGGAGCUCAACUCCAGAACUGCCUUUGAUACUGAAGAUCUUGAGUUCGGGAGAGGUGAGUGGAACUGCGAGUGUAGAGGUGAAAUUCGUAGAUAUUCGCAAGAACACCAGUGGCGAAGGCGGCUCACUGGACCAUUACUGACGCUGAGGCACGAAAGCUAGGGGAGCAAACAGG
rnacentral:rRNA from 1 species